rnacentral:rRNA from 1 species
GACGAACGCUGGCGGCGUGCCUAAUACAUGCAAGUCGAGCGGACCGACGGGAGCUUGCUCCCUUGGGUCAGCGGCGGACGGGUGAGUAACACGUGGGUAACCUGCCUGUAAGACUGGGAUAACUCCGGGAAACCGGGGCUAAUACCGGAUGCUUGAUUGAACCGCAUGGUUCAAUCAUAAAAGGUGGCUUUUAGCUACCACUUGCAGAUGGACCCGCGGCGCAUUAGCUAGUUGGUGAGGUAACGGCUCACCAAGGCGACGAUGCGUAGCCGACCUGAGAGGGUGAUCGGCCACACUGGGACUGAGACACGGCCCAGACUCCUACGGGAGGCAGCAGUAGGGAAUCUUCCGCAAUGGACGAAAGUCUGACGGAGCAACGCCGCGUGAGUGAUGAAGGUUUUCGGAUCGUAAAACUCUGUUGUUAGGGAAGAACAAGUACCGUUCGAAUAGGGCGGCACCUUGACGGUACCUAACCAGAAAGCCACGGCUAACUACGUGCCAGCAGCCGCGGUAAUACGUAGGUGGCAAGCGUUGUCCGGAAUUAUUGGGCGUAAAGCGCGCGCAGGCGGUUUCUUAAGUCUGAUGUGAAAGCCCCCGGCUCAACCGGGGAGGGUCAUUGGAAACUGGGGAACUUGAGUGCAGAAGAGGAGAGUGGAAUUCCACGUGUAGCGGUGAAAUGCGUAGAGAUGUGGAGGAACACCAGUGGCGAAGGCGACUCUCUGGUCUGUAACUGACGCUGAGGCGCGAAAGCGUGGGGAGCGAACAGGAUUAGAUACCCUGGUAGUCCACGCCGUAAACGAUGAGUGCUAAGUGUUAGAGGGUUUCCGCCCUUUAGUGCUGCAGCAAACGCAUUAAGCACUCCGCCUGGGGAGUACGGUCGCAAGACUGAAACUCAAAGGAAUUGACGGGGGCCCGCACAAGCGGCGGAGCAUGUGGUUUAAUUCGAAGCAACGCGAAGAACCUUACCAGGUCUUGACAUCCUCUGACAACCCUAGAGAUAGGGCUUCCCCUUCGGGGGGCAGAGUGACAGGUGGUGCAUGGUUGUCGUCAGCUCGUGUCGUGAGAUGUUGGGUUAAGUCCCGCAACGAGCGCAACCCUUGAUCUUAGUUGCCAGCAUUCAGUUGGGCACUCUAAGGUGACUGCCGGUGACAAACCGGAGGAAGGUGGGGAUGACGUCAAAUCAUCAUGCCCCUUAUGACCUGGGCUACACACGUGCUACAAUGGGCAGAACAAAGGGCAGCGAAGCCGCGAGGCUAAGCCAAUCCCACAAAUCUGUUCUCAGUUCGGAUCGCAGUCUGCAACUCGACUGCGUGAAGCUGGAAUCGCUAGUAAUCGCGGAUCAGCAUGCCGCGGUGAAUACGUUCCCGGGCCUUGUACACACCGCCCGUCACACCACGAGAGUUUGUAACACCCGAAGUCGGUGAGGUAACCUUUUGGAGCCAGCCGCCGAAGGUGGGACAGAUGAUUGGGGUG